AUGAUGGAUUUCAACAAGUAUCCAUUCAUGGAGGAACCUUCUGAUCUUAAGGAGAUUUUUUUUCGUAGGCUUGUGAAAGAAAAACAGAAGAUACUUAUCGAGUUGCAUGAGAUGGAAUAUGCUUGCAGACAUUCUGUGGCAACGGAGAUCUUUUUCUCUGUGAACAUAGAAGAAUUCCGCGAGCUGGACUUGAGAAAACCCGGGCAGGUCAUUGGAUGGGCAAUCACACAAGGCAAGUCAGAGAUUCCGGAACGCCGUGCCGGAUGGGCCUGGUUCGGCGAAACGAAAGGUGUGUUGGAGAAUUGGGCGGGAUCGUCGGAUUAUCAACUGAAGCCUAAUCCUAAUCAUGGCGUACAAAUUGAACGUCUUAUACAUUUUAGAUCUUUUUUCCGUUGUAGGAAAUGUAUGCUCGAGCUUGAGCUUGUAGUUUGA
rnacentral:rRNA from 1 species